GAACAAAGUUUUGUCCUGUGGGGAUGAGAACAAAAACGCAUUAAGAAGCAAAUGCCAGCUGAUUAAAAAUGGCCAUGUUUUGGGGAACAGAGUUUUUUUAAAAUAAAAGUCAAGCCAAGCUUCUUUAAGAUUUGGACAGCUGUUCUGCCCAGAAUAAAACAGAGCGAUGGUGUAGAAUGCUUCCAGACUAUUUCCAGUGUAUUGUAGUAGGUGGCUGUCUAGAGUAAAAUAUUUAACAUUUAUGAAUGAAGGCAUUGAUAUUAAAGACAAGCCUGGAUGACUUGCAGAGGAUCUGCUCCCUCAUUUCCCACAACUGCAACUCUGUGCUAAUAUGCUUGAUCACUCAGCUGGUUGUCUGCAUCAUUCACCAACACCACCGUGGAAGGGAAGUAGUGCAGUGGUAGAGCACCUGCUUUUCAUACAAAAGGUCCCAUGUUCAAUCCUUCACACCUCCAGGAAGGGCUAGGAUGGUCUGAAAUCACAGAGAGAUGCAGACAAUCAGUGUAGAAAAUGCUCAGCUAGAUGGACCGUUAGUCUGACUUAGUGCAAGGUAGGUUUUCAGGUGCAUGGUUUGGUUUGAUAGAUACUAUUUUCCACUUCCAGCUUCUCAUUUUGCCUCAUUUAGAUUAUCAUUCCAGCAUCUAGAGAUCCAAUCUUGGCAGAAGUUGUGUCCGUAGGCUAGCGUCACGGGAUCUGCAAAGUAGCCCAGGGCAAGUAGCUUCAUUCCUAAGCCUCUUAUUGGGGCUCUCAGCCAUAGCUUCAAUAUAGCAGUGCAACACAAAGGGAACUAAUUUCUUUUCUCCUGUGCUAUGAAGCAGCCCCACUGGGAAGAGAGCUCAAAAGGACUCUAUCUCCACCCCCAAAGCCCAGCAAAAGCAGUUAUCCUAAUUUGGCAGAGGGUAGCAAAGGGGCUUCUGUUCAAGCGUCCGAACCAGAGCAACUCUGACUACCAGCAAGCUGGGGGGGGGGAGGUGAAGCAGCGGGUAAUGAAAUCAAAACCCCUGCUACGAAAAGAAGCAGAUAUGAACAUUCUGUUAGUGAUGUUUGAUCUGUGGUGGCUCUUUUGACCCAAUGAGCCACCAGCUCCAAUAUUUGUUGCAUUGGUCAUUAAGGACCUGUUGCUGUGGACUGGGGAUUUACUAUGCUGCUCUGCAAUAAAUUACUAAAGAGCAGUCUUUUCCAUGUUGUCUUACAUAAGAUGCUCAACCCCACUGUUUUUCUGCUGAGGAAAUUAAGCAGUGUUGCAUUCUUCACAGAACACCCAAUUAAUUUCACAGAAAUCACGCAACUGACUCUACAUGUCCUAAACAAGGUUUAGAUUCGUCCAUUAUGCAUCAUUUAUUUGAUUUCUAAACUAGUUUGGAAAGCACAAGGAUGAUGGAAAGUAAACAAAGAAGAGGAUGUGAGUCAAGGGUCUACUGGGGACAGGAACCCUGGUCCGUUGGGGUGUUAUCCUGAAUCCUGUCCAGUAAACCAUGCCCUAUUUAUUAAGAAUUGCUUGUGCAUUAAAAAACUUUUCUUCCCAAUUUAUUCUGAGAAAUUUCUUGCUUUUCUUAUGAAGUUCUUUUUUUCUGGUUUCCUAUAGGUAUCUGGUUCGCCACUGUGAGAACAGGAUGCUGGCCUGAUCCAGCAAGAUCUCAUGUCCUUAUGUCGGUGUUCUUCUAAUCACCAUUCCUCAAGUUCAGAAUCAAUUGUGCAUACAAGUUUGUUUUUUAAAAUUAGUUUUUAAAAGAUUUUAUUGUAUUAUGAAACAGACAAAUAAGCAAAGAAUAGUACAAUUGGGGGAAAAGAGAGGGAGGAAGAAGGGGUGUAUUGUUCUUUCAUUCUGUUGCAGACUGUUGGUUUAGGGGUUUGUGUCAGUAUCAUGUUGACAGGUCGUGUGUGUGUGUGUGUGUGUAGACAUUGCGAGAUGUUAGGGGUCCAAAGCUUGGUUGAUUGUGUUCAGGUGGUUACAUUGUGGUGUGGGGGUGGGUUGUUGGGUCAGGUUAGCCGUGUUGAUUUGUAUGUUGUUGGUGAGGAUAGGUCACUGUUGUGUUGUGCUUUGUAUGUGAUAAUUGGAGAUUCACACUGGGGUUAGCUUGUCCCUGUGCUAAUUUGAGUUGGUUGGUUAACUUUUCCAGUAGGGCUUUCCCCCAUAUAUUUUGGUACCAGUGGUCUGUGUUCACUUUUUGAAUGCCGCAUGCUUCAGCCACUACUGUAGUCACCGAAGGUGUGAUACUCCCAUUUCCAAAUCAUUCUCUUGUUUCCUCUAAAACAGACAUUAAAAAAAUAUGGUCCCUCAGACUCAUGUCAGUAGGUGGCAUCCUCAAGGGCCUGUUGCUAUUGGCAUCACUGCCCUUCCCCAGUAUUCUGAUGAGCCCAGUCGGCAGCCAUUGUAACUGUGUCAGGAACUGAGGACCACUGUCCUAUGUGGCAAGAUGUGUCACUACAGCUUCUCAGAGAAGAAUCUUUAGAAUGGAUUCAGCCCAGGCUCGAUUUGGCUCCUUCUGAGCAGGAAGGAGAAUAAGAGGACUUCCCGUCUCAGUGAUGCUUUGAGCUCUAGCAUGUGUUGUGUUUCUGGUAUUGCUGUUAAGUUCUGGUGCUUAGCUUGUACUAUCAGCCCUAUCUUCUGGUUUGACCUCUGAAUUAGAUUGCUUUUUUGCCUGAUUUCCAUUUACUGGUUCUUGAUUUAAUGCCUGUGUCCCUCAACCCAGCCUGGACUAUGCCCAAGGUUGAAAAGCUUUUGUUAAGCCCACUCACUUGUUUCCACUUACUAAUUUGGGAAUGCUUUGCUUGGAUGGAAUGGCUGGCUGGCAUCUUGACAAGGAACACCUUGGAGGUGAGGAUAUAUGGCAGGCAUAGGCAAACUCGGCCCUCCAGAUGUUUUGGGACUACAACUCCCAUCAUCCCUAGCUAACAGGACCAGUGGUCAGGGAUGAUGGGAGUUGUAGUCCCAAAACAUCUGGAGGGCUGAGUUUGCCUAUGCCUGAUCUAUGAUAACAUUUUAGGCUUCCCAUGGGCAGUUGGUUAGUCACUGUUGGAGCAAGAUGCUGGACUAACUAGGUAGGCUAUUGCCCUGAUCCAGGAGAGUCUUCUUACAUUCUUUUCUUUUUUUAAAGAACGUUCCAUGUGUUUAAACUAGUACUGGUAUCACCAACAGACUUUUAAAAUAGCCAUUCUCAGUCAUUAAGAAAUAAUCUGAACAAAAAAGGAAGCUAUGUAUGUGUGUUUUAUACUAGUGAGUGCUUUUUUCAGGAAAUAAUUUUAAAAUAAAUCCAGGCCGUUACAAGAUGCUUGCUUUUGACAGUCUGUCUCCACUUGUUAGCAGAAGUCUGGCUGACUUUAUCGGAAGCAGAACCAGGCCCAUUAAGAUGAGCAACACACUGCAGCCAGUGCACUUGGGGAAUGAAAACCAAGAAGAGACUGCAAACAUUUCCUCUUGGAUUGGCAAGACUGAGACCAUUGUUCAUCUUUGAUGACCAGCUGUAUGAAGAUCUUCAUGUGCACACAGCCUGCUGUUUGGUGCCAUUAAUUAAAAUGAUGUAAACAGAUCAUGUCUGAAAAGAAUGGCAUUUGAACUGCAAACUCUUCCAAAGACAUCAGGCACAGCAAUCUGAACUUGCUGCAGCGACUCUGCCGAAGGAUGGAACUACCACCCUCAUGGCAGAAGCAGUGGAAGGUUAAGGGGACCAGGCUGAUUAAUUCUGGAACCUAUGUUGGCCAGUGCAGAUGUGAAAGCAGUUCAGGAUCCACCAGGCUCUGUUGUCAGGAAUACUGCUGAUGCUCAGAGACCUUUGAGUAGCAAGCGUCUAACACAUCUAAUAAAUAACAACAACCAAACAACAGAUAUUUUUGGUAUCUGCAAAACUCUAAAAAACAACAACACCUUGCCUCCUGGAAGAUCAAGACUCAACAUGGGAACAGGAAAAAACCUGCGUAGGCAAGCUUGACAUUGAUAUUUUCCACUCCUAUUCUAAACAGAGAAAGCCGCACUCGCAGAGCUCAAGCGAUGAUGGAUUUCGGCAUCAAUGUCGGCCCUUGUGGAAAGAUAACUGCUCAGGUAGGAGAAGUGAUCGACAUUUUCCAACCUUACACCACUGAGUUGGAUUUGUGGCGCUGCAGAGGAGUUGUUUUGUGCUUGUUGGUGCAACACUUUGGUUUUUUGGAUGUUGAGCGAUAGGCCAAGCUUCUCGUAAGCUUCUGUGAAGAUAUUUAGGAUGGUUUGGAGGUCAUCCUCUAAGUGUGUACAUACUACAUUGUCAUGGCUUAGCUCUCAGUGGUGGUGCAGCAGCAGGACCACAGGUGCAGCAUUGUAGCUGCCAUCUCUGGGAACUCUCACAAGAUGACGCUAAGCCAUGGCUCCAUUUUAUAUCACUUCCACACUCCAUUACUUUGCCCCAUCAAUAGCAUCCCCACCCCAAAUCCUUUUUUCCACAUGCACUUUCUACUGAGCUCCCCCCAUUCACACACACCUCAGAGUGAGUUAUUAUUUCUUCAAGGCAAAUGCUACAAAACGCUGUUGACAUCUUGUUCAAAAUAUAUUCAUGCAGAAGGAUGUGGACCCUUAGGUCAACUCAUGGUAAUGAGAUGAAUGAAGAGAUAUGGCUGAAAUGAGGGCCCAGCAUAACACAGCCCUCUCCAAAGAAUCUGUCACUUGAACAAAACAGGUUGGGACUAUUUAGUAUCCGAGCUUCCAGUACGGUUACCAUGGUUUCUGCACAGAGAGCAAUGGACUGCCUUGCAAUUAUAUUCCUUCCAAUGACAAAUAACAGGGGAAUAGGAAAUGGGAUAAUAUAAUCUUGAGGCCUCCUGUCAGAACUGUGAGAUGCAAGAGGCAGCAUUCAUUUAUCUCUGAAACACCCUAACAACAGAGAGUGCAAACUGAUGUACUCUAAACAAAAUGUCCAUUGGUUUAGCUCGUAGGCUCCUCUUGUCUUUCAGCUUUUGUUUUCUCUAAGUAUGGAAUUGAUUUGAAGUUACGUGACACCAGUUCAGUUCACGUGGGUCACUUUUAUUCUGCUGGAAAUGCCCUCAAAUCCACUUGCAUCCCCAGCAGCUUCUGUGCAACUCAUUCAGCGCAUAUUCUUGAAUUCAGUGUGUGUACACAACAUGUUUGUAAAGGAAAGGCUUCUUUUAGGCCCCUUUGAUGCUUGAACAGACUAAGGUGGUUUGCAACAAAGCCAAUCAAUGACUGACACAUUAAAUUUAUUCAGUGGUAAACACAGAGCAGGCAUCACAGAGGAUUAAAUCAGACUAGGGAAUGACUUGGAGCUAAAUGCAAGUGCUACUUUCAGAAAAAAGUUGUAGUAACAACAUCUUACAGCGCAAGGAGGACAGGUGUGAGCAUCACCAAGACCUGAACUUUGUGAGGGGUGCAGGAAGAUGGUAACAACAUCAAGCACAAUGCUUACUACAUAAUAUACAAAGCACAGUGGAACCUCGGUUGUCGAACUUUGACUUCUGAGGUGUGUUUAUCCAUUUUUAAAAAGCAAUUUGCGAGCUGGCAAUUGCGCCUUGGUUGUCGAACAUUUUGGAAGUCGAACGGUCUUCCGAAAUAGAUUAUGUUUGACAACCAAGGUUCCACUGUAAUUCUAUAUGACACUUUCAAAUGUGAAACAACUGAACUGACCUUGUACAUUUUCCAAAUGCAUCUAGCUUUCUUAAUAGAACAGCCACAUUAUUUUGCCUUGGCAACUUUCUGCCUUAUGAGAGACUCAAAGGAUGCUUAGGUGUACAUGCUUAAGUGUAAAUCAGCAUGCACAAGUCAAGGGCUAUAGCCAAGAAGAAAGGUCCAUCUUGCUCAUUAUUGACACUGAUUGGUGGUGGGUCUCUGGGAAUCUUUCCUACCCCUGUCUUGAGAUGCCAGGGAUUGAACCCGGGACCUAACAUUAUCAUUUUCAAAUAUAUUUUAUUGUUUGGUUGUGUCUGUGGUGUUUUAGUUGCCUUGUGAGCUGUCUUGGAUGAACUGGGUGUAGAAAGGCAGAAUAGAAAUUGUGACAUAAAUAAAUGUCAGAAAGACUGAAAUGCACUGCUGUGGCAUUGUAAAACACAAAAGGCUGCCUUAUACUAGAUUAUACUAUUAAUCCAUCAUACCCAGCAUUAUUCACUCUCAUGGCCUAAACAGAUGUGUACUUAAAUUCCUAGCAGGCAUCUAUGUGUCUUGGUUUUCCUUAUGUAAUUCCAGAUGUGGGGGAGCCCAAUAAUUAUGGUAUAGGCAGCUGGAAGUGUUUCUUACUGCCCUGCUGAGAUCAGAAUGGAGAUCUCCCCUCCAGGCUAGGUUUUCCUUUGGCAGCUUUGGCAAUUCUGCAACUCUUCCUCAGGUCCAGCCAUUUCUAGCUAUGCACAAAGAUAAGUUGCCCAUAUUGCCUACAUGCACAACAUAUCUGGGCAAUGGAAAAUAUAUGGAGGCAAUUGUGUAAUUUUUCAAAAUGUGGCUCGGUAGAGAGGAGUCACAAUGUAGUGAUUACAUUGUAAAUGUUGUCAUUUUGGUUUCGGGUGUGCUCAAAAUGGAGUUUAUUUUCUAGAGCACUACUUAGAAGGAAUAUCCCAGGGGCCAAAAGGCUAAUCACACGCCCAAAACUAGAUGUGGCCCAACUGAAAAACAAAACAAUAAAGAACCACCCCAAAAGCCUUGAGAGUUUGUGAGCUUGAGCAAAGCAACAGAGGCGGAUGGGAGGGAUAGCUAUUAACAGCUGCUGCUACUACUAUAACUACUCCAAAGUUAUUACCCCAUGUUUCUUCCAAGUAACUCAAGGCAGCAUACUUAAGUUUAUAUCCCAAUUUGCUUUCAGUCUGCUCCCAACCUUCCCCAGAUUAACUUCAUAGCAACCCUGUAAGAUAUGUUAGGCUAAAAGGUAGGCAAUGCUCAAGGUCAUUCUAAAAGUUCAUGGCCGAGUGGGACUUUGAACCCGGGUCACUCCAGGCCUGCUCUGACAUGCCAACCCUGGGGUAGCCAAUGUGGCAACCUCAAGGACUACAACUCCCAUCAGCCCCUGCCAACAUGGCCAAUGGUCAGGGAUGGUGGGAGCUGUAGUCCAACAACGUCCAGAAGGUACUACUGUACAUGUGUCUUCUCAUAUGGGAAAGCAGCUUGGAAGGGAUCAUUGUGAAAAGAAAAACUAUUGGAGAGUAAAGGGCUAAGCAGCACUCUGCUCCUCUAUUCCUCCGCUAAAACCUCCAGCCUCCUGUGGCUACUUUUGGUUCGAGGGGGGAAGUCAGUGGACAAAUACACUUGACUACAUCUCAUUUUGUUUGAGUUUUAGAGAUAUACUGCAUGCCUCGUACCAUACAAAAGCAGCGUGUAUCAUGAAGAAACAUUUUGACUGCUUACCUUGAAGGAAAUUUCAUACUGCUCCCCUCCCCAGAUUUCUAAACCUGGAUCGUAGCCACCGAGAUCCCAAAACCACUUUCUGUUAACAGCGAACAGACCUCCAGCCAUAACAGGGGAUCUGACGAAGGAAUAUAACAAACUGUCAAUGGCAGGCAUCAUCAUGGCAUGCUUGAAAAGCUGAAAUGACUGGCAAAAUGUGCUUGAUGGAGACAGAUACUGUGGGAGUUAUCAGCAUGAUAUGUGACAGGGGUGUCCUUCAGGUGCUGCUGGACUCCAGUUUCCACCAUCCUUGACCAAUCUAGCUGGGGCUGAUGGGAGCUGCAGUCCAAAAGGAUUUAGAAUCAUAGAAUCAUAGAGCUGGAAGAGACCACAAGGGCCAUCCAGUCCAACCCCCUGCCAAGCAGGAAACACCAUUUGGAGGGCACCACUUUGGCUGUCCUUGGUACAUGGUGUGGUUCUCAUUAGCAUAAAACCCAGGGAAUGGGAAUUUCAACCAUUUCAACGCAAUGUUUCUUCAAGCCAAAACACAUGGGGUGACAGUGUUAGUUGUAUGCAGAGUAAACCCACUGAAAUAAAUGCACAAGUAUCUAUUCUGGGUAUGAUUUAAGCUGCCUAUUACCCAUGGUAUGCAAAGCAUACCCCAGCCCGUUCAGACAAAGCUCUUGCAGCAAAACAUAGAUGUUUAAUGGUAUGUCAUAAUGUCCAUGGAAUAUGAAUGGGGUUUCACCUUUAUUGAUGUUUCCAAAUAUAUGAACACAUUGAGUGGCAUUUUAUUGAAUGGUUUUACCAAAAGAUUUUGAUUUUGACCUUCCAUUCCCAACUCUAGCCAAAGUAAGCAAGUUAUAGCAUGGUUGUAUUUUUUGUUAAAACAAUGCCCUUGAGCCUCAACAUAAUAAACAUAUUUAUUGUGCCUGUUUUGCACACAGAUGAGCUUGUAGCUUUCAGUACAACCCCUAGUUAUCAUGCUCGAUGGAAACUCAGCCUGUAGCUAACCCAAAGUAUGUGUGACUGAAACAAUCACAUAUUCCUUCCCAGUUUACAACUGAUUGCUAAUAAUGCCCUCAAUCCAGCUAAGGUUCUCACUUGAAACCAAGGGGGAAAGUGGCUUGCCAGCAAUUCAAGGCUCAUUGCUUCCAGUGGCAUUUAGUUAUUCCGAACUUUAGCUGGAUUGGGGUCAGUGUGUUGGUUACCUUUUUUCAGUGGCGUCAUUCAUUCCUUUCCAUCUAUUGUUCACAAUGGCUAUGAAACACAAUAAAUAAUGGAAUCCCCUCAAAAUUGCAUCCUGAAUUGAUUGCUCACUUCAAUUAGUUUCAACUCAAGACAUGCCUGAAUGUCACCCCCC